AAAACCUGUGCUCUUCAGUGCGACUUUGCCAGAAGCCCAAAUAAAGCCGGCAAUGUGAGCCUCUCCACCGAGGGCUCACUCUGCCCCCGGGCCAGACACUUCAUCAAAGAGUCUGUGUUCUGGAGGCAGGCCCAGCAAACUCAGCCCGGGUCACCUGAGGAAGGGCAGGGCCACAAUUGGCCACUGUUCCCGAGCAUUGAAGGGCACUUCUCAGCCUAGUUCCUGACAGGUGACCAGUAACCAACAGUUUCCCUCCAACGGCUGAGCCCUUGCCAUGGACCUUAAAGAAAAUGAACGAAACAGGCCCUUUAUCCGAUGCAAAGGAAGCAGAGCGUGCUUGCAAGAGUAUCACAGAGACUUUACAAAGAAAAAAGGCAACUGUCUGAGCCGGUGGCAGCUGGCAUGGCUCUUCCGUUUUUUCUUGAGGACAUUCCCACUGCAUCAUUUUCCAUAGAAAAAAUAUGACACUAGGGGUCGACAGCUGUCAACUUGGACUUGAAUUUGCAUGAGGGGGUGGAGGAACCUUGUGCUAGAAGGAGUCUGGAUCUGGAGCGGCUCUGUGGAUGAAAGCUAGUAUUAAAACUCUUGAAGA